rnacentral:rRNA from 1 species
UGGGGAAUAUUGCACAAUGGGCGCAAGCCUGAUGCAGCCAUGCCGCGUGUAUGAAGAAGGCCUUCGGGUUGUAAAGUACUUUCAGCGGGGAGGAAGGCGAUAAGGGUAAUAACCUUGUCGAUUGACGUUACCCGCAGAAGAAGCACCGGCUAACUCCGUGCCAGCAGCCGCGGUAAUACGGAGGGUGCAAGCGUUAAUCGGAAUUACUGGGCGUAAAGCGCACGCAGGCGGUCUGUCAAGUCGGAUGUGAAAUCCCCGGGCUCAACCUGGGAACUGCAUUCGAAACUGGCAGGCUAGAGUCUUGUAGAGGGGGGUAGAAUUCCAGGUGUAGCGGUGAAAUGCGUAGAGAUCUGGAGGAAUACCGGUGGCGAAGGCGGCCCCCUGGACAAAGACUGACGCUCAGGUGCGAAAGCGUGGGGAGCAAACA